CCGGGAGUUAUGGCUUGACUCAUAGAGAUAUUAGCAAAUCCUAAAGGACGUGUGAACUGGACGAUGGACUGUGAGGAAUUUAUUUAAUUAGCUGCCACUUAGAAGUGCAUCUCUUGAGUACAGUGAAUGGCAGGAAGAGGUCCAAAAACCAUCUGCUCUAACUUGCUGCUCAAAUCAUGGCAUGAUUGAUCUGUUACACUUAUACCCUGCUUUUGCUCCGGAUUGAAGAAGCAUUUCAGCCAUGCUCUUAUCAGGACCGUGGCAGAUCCACCACGAGGAAACUGCAACUGCAGCAGCUGCCAAAUUUUCCUCCCUUACAGGGCAAGAUUUCCUCAUCUGGGAUCCCACUGCUCAUGUGUCUCAUACGUCUGGCUCCUUGUGACAGACACAACAGAGCUAGAACAUCAGAAGUAUUUAUAAGCUUCCAUCAGAUUUCAUAUGUUCCAAGACAGAGUCACAUUUUACCUGUACUGUACAUUGAGAAUAACCAUGCAGAUUCCUCAGAGAGACUUGCAACUAGCCUUAAUCUUAAUCUAGUCCUACUGUUAAUCCUAUACAACUUGCCUUAAAAUUAGGCAAAGUGAGGCAGCAGACGACGGGUGGGGGAGUAAUCAGAGUUGUGUGUGUCAUAUGGCCUGCCCUAACCCCCACUAAAUGGGCUGUAUGUCUUUAGGUGUGGCAGAGGUUGCUAUAUAAUUUCCAGCCCUAAAGUAAGUUGCAAAUGCCAGGCCUCCAUGCAACAACACCAUCUUGUUCUUCACCUCAGACAACAAAAUGUCUUGGAGUGGACCUGAAUCCCUAAUCAGGCAUUUUCUAACUUUUGGAAAUGGAGGUUCCCUAUGGACUUAGCAUGUCUGAUGGUGAACAAGAGACCUCAGCUUCCAUGCAUGAGUCAAGCCCUUUUCAAUGCCAUUUUAUGCUUUUAAAUAAAGU